CCGGCGACCGGCGCACGGGUGAGUAACACGUAUGCAACCUGCCCGUGGCAGGGGGAUAAGCGGGGGAAACCCCGUCUAAUACCGCGUAACGCGGCCUUGGGGCAUCCCAAGGCCGCCAAAGGGAGCAAUCCCGGCCACGGAUGGGCAUGCGGCGCAUCAGCUAGUCGGCGGGGUAACGGCCCACCGAGGCGACGAUGCGUAGGGGUUCUGAGAGGAAGGCCCCCCACACUGGUACUGAGACACGGACCAGACUCCUACGGGAGGCAGCAG
rnacentral:rRNA from 1 species